CACAGGCUACCACCUUCACUGGGGACCAGGGUCCAGCCCUCCAGCUGCCGCCACCUUGACACCCUCAGGACACAGCUGUGUCUUCAACUAGGAGACGAACAGGCAUCUUGGCUGAGGCCUGCCGCUGAGCUUCCUAACAAUCACAGGUCUGCGGCUCUGGACAGUAAUGCUUACAGCACCCCAUCACGGGAUUUGAACCCAGGCUGUCUGAUUCCGGAGUCGCCGACUAUCUCUUAACUACCUGGGUGUUCUCCCUGGGCCAGUCUGGGUUUCCUUCAUCCCAGGAUUCCUUGGAGGCCUUGGGAGAGGUGUGCUAGCUCUCCCUGCAAGUGUCUCUGUGGGAAAAGGCAAGGAGGGAGAAUGAGCACGAGCAGGAGGAGGGG